GCCCCCAGCGUUUAGU
rnacentral:tRNA from 1 species